AUCGCUUCUCGGCCUUUUGGCUAAGAUCAAGUGUAGUAUGAAUGUGUUAUAGCGCCUAAUACCUCCC
rnacentral:snRNA from 1 species